rnacentral:rRNA from 1 species
UACGUAGGGGGCAAGCGUUGUCCGGAAUUAUUGGGCGUAAAGCGCGUGUAGGUGGCUCGGUAAGUCUGCUGUGAAAGUCCAAGGCUCAACCUUGGAAAGCCGGUGGAUACUGUCGAGCUCGAGUCCGAAAGAGGCGAGUGGAAUUCCUGGUGUAGCGGUGAAAUGCGCAGAUAUCAGGAGGAACACCAAUGGCGAAGGCAGCUCGCUGGGACGGUACUGACGCUGAGACGCGAAAGCGUGGGGAGCAAACAGG